GGAGCCCGCGGCGGGGCGCGCAGGGCCGCCCGGGCGCAGAAAGGACACGGGCUCUGGAACGUGCAGCCUCACGCGGCGCCUGGAGCAAAACCGAACCCCAAAAGGGGCAACGGGAAGGAACGAAUUCUCCAUUUUCAUCCCGCCUGUGCCCCGACAGGCCCGUUUCUGACCCUGAGCAUCGUUGUCUGGAAACGGGCACGGGCCGCCUGCCAUCGCCACCUCAGCUGUUCGUUUGCCAGCAGCUAAGACCACCGCAUUUGUCUGUGCCCUACACGAUAGGAGCUGCCCCUGCAGCUAUGCGGUGACCAGAAGCCAGUGCCCGUGCCACCGGGGUGACCCAUCGUGCCGGCCGCGCAGUCCUGGCGCAGGUGACAGGAGGCACGCCCCCAGCCAGGCCCCCCGGGUGUGCACCCUCCGCUUGAGCCCACCAGCAGGUGCCUGCUGCGCUCGCGGUCCCAUCAGCUGCUGAGAAGGUCGUGUCUAGUCCCAAGCGCCACUGUGCCUUUGUCCCUCUCAGCUCAGCUCCACGGCACUUGGCUUCAUGCACUGAGACUGGCUUUGGCGCGCACACUUCGGCUGGUUGCAUCUUUCCAGCGGAUUGAUCCUCUUAUGAUGGCGCCGCGUCCUCCCGUGUCUAGCAAUUCUCUUUGCUCUCAAGUGGACUUUACCAGGGAUCGAUACAGUGGUUUGUUUCUUUACAUUAAUGUUGGCAUGAUGUAUCUUUUUAUAUCCUAAUUUCAAUUUAUCGAUGUCACUGAAUUUGAAACGUCUUGUAAACAGCAUAUAAUUGG